rnacentral:rRNA from 1 species
CAGUCGCCACGGUAAUACAGAGGUCUCAAGCGUUGUUCGGAUUCAUUGGGCGUAAAGGGUGCGUAGGCGGUCGGGUAAGUCGGAUGUGAAAUCCUGGGGCUCAACCUCAGAACUGCAUUCGAUACUGCUUGGCUAGAGGACUGGAGAGGAGACUGGAAUUCACGGUGUAGCAGUGAAAUGCGUAGAUAUCGUGAGGAAGACCAGCGGCGAAGGCGGGUCUCUGGACAGUUCCUGACGCUGAUGCACGAAGGCCAGGGGAGCAAACGGGAUUAGAUACCCCUGUAGUCCCUGUCUCUUAUAC